ensembl:snRNA U6 U6 spliceosomal RNA
GUGCUUGUUUCGGCAGCACAUAUACUAAAAUUGGAACGAUACAGAGAAGCUUAGCGUGACCCCUUAAAUAAAUAUAUAGAAACAAAAGCAGUAAAGCUGU